AGCAGUGUAGCACAGUGGCAAGGAGUAGGGCUCAUAACCGAAAGGUUCCUGGUUUGAUUCCCUGCUGGCGCGCUGCUG